rnacentral:tRNA from 1 species
GCUUUGGUGGUUGAGUGGUAGAAUUCUUGCCUUCCAUGGGGGAAACCUGGGUUUCAUUCCCAGCCAAAUCA